UGGCGAACGGGUGAGUAAUGCGUAAGAACCUGCCCUUGGGAGGGGAACAACAGCUGGAAACGGUUGCUAAUACCCCAUAGAAUUUAGUACCUCUACGAGGUAGGCUGAGGAGCAAAAGGGAGGAAUCCGCCCAAGGAGGGGCUCACGUCUGAUUAGCUAGUUGGUGAGGCAAUGGCUUACCAAGGCUCCGAUCAGUAGUUGGUCUGAGAGGAUGAUCAGCCACACUGGGACUGAGACACGGCCCAGACUCCUACGGGAGGCAGCAGUGAGGAAUUUUCCGCAAUGGGCGAAAGCCUGACGGAGCAAUGCCGCGUGAAGGAAGAAGGCUCACGGGUCGUAAACUUCUUUUCUCGGAGAAGAAUAAAUGACGGUAUCUGAGGAAUAAGCAUCGGCUAACUCUGUGCCAGCAGCCGCGGUAAAACAGAGGAUGCAAGCGUUAUCCGGAAUUAUUGGGCGUAAAGUGUCUGUAGGUGGCUUUUCAAGUCCGUCGUCAAAUCCCAGGGCUCAACCCUGGACAGGCGG
rnacentral:rRNA from 1 species